UACGUAGGGGGGCAAGCGUUUGUCCGGAUUUAUUGGGCGUAAAGAGCUCGUAGGUGGUUCGGUAAGUCGGAUGUGAAAUCUCCAGGCUCAACCUGGAGGGGUCAUUCGAUACUGCCGUGACUAGAGUUCGGUAGGGGAGUGUGGAAUUCCUGGUGGAGCGGUGAAAUGCGCAGAUAUCAGGAGGAACACCCGUAGCGAAGGCGGCACUCUGGGCCGAUACUGACACUGAGGAGCGAAAGCGUGGGGAGCGAACAGG
rnacentral:rRNA from 1 species